AUGGUAGGUUACAUAAGAAUACAGCUAAUUCACACAGGACACGUAACGUAUAAUAUUAGCAGUAAUAAGCACUGUAUUUCCACCAUGGAUUUAGGAGUUGAUUUGUGAAACAAGCAUCAUCCAGUUGCAAUAUAAUUAAAAACUCGUUACAGAAUAAGAAAAAAAAAUGAAAGAAAAAAAAAAAAAAAUUCCGACGAGACGGAUUUGAACCAUCGACCUAAGGAUGACAGAUUUCGAUAACCACUACAGUCCUCCGCUCUACCAACUGAGCUAUCGUCGGGUUACAUCAGCUGGAAAAUUUAUCGAGCCAUUCCUUGAUGUAGUAUUAUUAGUUGCAUUUUCACAAAAUACAAGUUGUUUUGUCACUGAA